ACGCUCGACACCUACGGGAGGUAGCAGUGGGGAAUAUUGCACAAUGGGGGAAACCCUGAUGCAGCGACGCCGCGUGAGCGAAGAAGUAUCUCGGUAUGUAAAGCUCUAUCAGCAGGGAAGAAGAUGACGGUACCUGACUAAGAAGCACCGGCUAAAUACGUGCCAGCAGCCGCGGUAAUCUGAGGCGGGCUGGCAAGGC
rnacentral:rRNA from 1 species